UACAUAUUUUUCAUACAACAUGGCCCCUAAAUGCAAGCCAACUACUUCAUCUGGUUCUCAACCGAAGAAACCAUGAUCUGCUCCAAUGCUGGAGGAAAAACUGGCUGUGUUGGAUUUAUUGAGAGACAGUAUGUCGGUUUCCAACGUGGCGCAUAAAUAUGACUGCAACAAAUCUAGCAUCCGUGCCAGCAAGAUGAGAGAGAGAGAGAGAGAGAGAGAGAGAGAAAUUCGUCAAGCUGUGGCAUCUAGUGCUCCAAUAACUGCUAAGCUCAGUGAUGAAAACGAACAGCUACUUAAGAAGUUGAAAAGGUUGCAUAGAAAAAAUCAACAGCUAGAAAAUGAUUUGGCUCAGAUCCAGGAAAAACUGCAUCUGGAGCAGUUAAUGCAUGACUGUGUCACAAGCAGAGAUGUUCAGGUUCAAACAGAAUCCCACUUACGGUACAAGGGAGCUGGCAGUCACAACAAAGAAAUCAAAGUAGCAAGCGAAAGUGCCCGAAUACUUCAGAUGUAUAAUAACCUGCAGAAAUGUUAUGACAGAGAAAUCAAAACAAACCAGGAGCAAAGUGAAACAAUUAAAAAUCUUACUAUUAAAAUUCAUGAGCUAGAGCAUCAACUUCAAGGACAAAAGCAAAGAAUUGAGCAGCUGGAAUGUAAAAAGGUCUCCCAGAAGGAAAACACUGUUUCUGGAGUAAGGACUCCAACAGCAGAGAGAGAAGUAACAUUAUCUCACAGAUGCAUAUGUAAGAAGAAGGGAGCCUGUUCUUGCAAAUAUUUGGUGCUAUUGCUGCUUGAGAUUCAAAAGCUGAAGAAAAAAAAUGAUAAGCUGUCUAGAGAAAGGAGAAUGCAAAGAAAUGAAUUACCUGGAUUAGACAAGGUUCAGGAAGAGGAGUAAUUGGAAUUCAGAUGAACUUUUGCUUUUAACUGCUUGAUUCUCUUGUGAUCACGCUUUUAUCUUGGGCCACUUCUGUCUCUAGUCCUCCACCUUGAAGUUAUUUGCUCCAUGUUACAGAGACACUGACUGAAAUGUAAAUUGAUUGACUUAGUUCUGCCCAACAGAUAGAUAAUUGCAUUUAGAACAAAAACAAAUUUCCCAAACUAAGUACCCACUGCUGCUCUGUAAUAUUUAUGAGCGGAGGAUUAUUUUUCUGUAGAGUUAGUUACUCCUAGGGCAAGACUUUUCAUUCUUCUUUGCUGGGCUGUUAAAAUUGACAUGUGGACCAGGGGAGGAGGGAGUUAGUGGGAAGUGCUGGUAAUUCUUGAAAUGAGAUGGUAAGAGUUGGAGGUCUAAUCUUACUGUUCAGCUGAGUUAUUUGAAUAUCCAGAUGAAAGUUUUUUCUUCAUUUUUAGCAGCAAAUUUCCUUUCAGUUGUUUUUAGAUUUUUUUUGUGUUUGCAUAAAGCUAAUUAUUUCAGCUUGGUCCUUUCGAUUGGAGGACAAACAUUAAUCCAUGAACUUUUGGAUUGGGACAUCUGUAGCACAUGCUGCCAUCAUUGACAUUCAAGUGAUUUGGGAACUUCAGUCCAGUUAGGUGCUUUUGAAAAUUUUAAGGUUGGUGUGUAGAGAGUAAUCCUAAUAAUUGUAUAGUCAUGAGUGUUUGUUGAAGAAUAAAUUCGGAUACUGACAUAACUUGUCACUUGUUUUCAGUAUUAAUUUAGUAUUUCCUCUUGAAGGAAGUACUGCCUUGUCCUGUUAUUCUCAUCGGCUCCAACAGGUUUUCAGCUGGGUAGUACUUGCAGAUUCAGCAGGAAGUGGUGUUGGUGAUUUAUUGUGUGUGACUGUUUUUUAAGAAUUGUUACUGAAUCAGUAUAGCCCAGCCUGAUGUUUUAUUUAGGAGGUAGAGAUGAGAGAUCUAUCUGAGGAUCUAAUUAUUUGUCACUAAGGUUGUUAUUACUGAUAACAAGUAGUAGCUGAAAGCCUGUGAUAUCACACACAGGUGUGGUAGUCGGGCCACAUACUCCACAGUCUAUGCAGCCUGUCUCAUACAACCGAUAUAACUGUUGCAUGCAAAUUAACAAUAGAGGAAGGGCGGUGAUUGGUUGAGUUACCUCUGCUAUCACAAUGGUCUAGGACUUGUGGCUUGGCAUAUAUACAUGCCUACUGUAGCUACACACCACACAGAUGUAAUUCAUAAAAUCAAAGUGGCUGAGAACUUAAAAAUUUGACAGUAAAACAGGGAAUCUUAGUGAUGAUUGAAUCUGGUGAUAUUCUGAACAAAAAGAGCUUUCAGCCAUGGUUGUAGCUGUUUGUGUCCUCACGCUGACUCAACAGACAUUGUAGGCUUCAGGGUGACAUACAGAGUAACAAUUGUAGAAUUUUAUUAUACAGAUGACUACAAGAUGUGUGUAGCAGAUUACAAAACCAACAUUGACCCCUUUCUCCAAAGCAUUUAGUCAAAGUAAAAACAAGAGAAGAAAACAGUAGAAUCUGGAGGCAUCUUUAUCAUGUAGUCUCUUUUGAAAGUAGUAGAUUCUGUGUCACCAUUCGGGCUAGAAUUCUGGGUGAUUACAUUCUGUCUACUAUUGCUAUACUUCCUCUGUAAGUGAUUUGGAUAUGCUGUUCUUUUACUGUCCUAAGCUCUGGAAGAUUGCCUGUGCAAGUCAUUACCUUGAUUCCUCCAUUGCUGAAAUCCUUAUCCAUGCCUUAAUCUCCUCUCUCCUUGACUAUUGCAGUUCCAGUCUUUACGGACUCACUCCUAACUCUCAGCUCUCCAGACUCCAUGAUGUGUGGAACUCUGUUGUCUGGCUUUUGCAAAUACGGGGAAAUGUAACUACAUUUCCAUUAUUAGACACACCUUUUGGCACCGAUUCACUUUGAGAUCCCUUUGAAACCCCUUUGUUUUUUAAAAUUGUCAAUGAUUUGUUCCCUGUGUCUUUGUGGACUUCGCUUUCUCUCUUGAAUCCAUCCUACUAUCUCUGUCCACACCACUGGGUUUGUGUGACCUUUCCUUUCCAUUUAGAACUACCUUUUUUUCUUUCUGCAACAUUGACUCUUCUCUCCUUUGCUUCUCUCUUAAUUUCUCUUGCUGCUAUCAUAUUUUUUAUUUUACUUUUUAUUAUUUGUCUGUAAAAUAUUUUGAAACUGUUUGUAUGAAAGAUGCUAUAUAUAUAAAAGUUGUAAGCUGUUGUGCAGUGUUGCAGUUAGCCACCACAUCUAAGUUGAGAUGUGGUUGCAGCCUCACUGGUGACCAAAGUGAUUCCUAUGUGUAUAACUUGAAGAGUACUCUGAGGGUACAUCUACAUGGCCCACAGCAGCGAGUGCCAGAGCCUGAGUUGAUAAACUUGAUGUCGCUCUACUGCACUAAAAAUGGCUGUGUAGAUGUUCCGGCUCAGGCUCUGAAGCCCACCUCCCUCACCGGAGCCUGAGCUCCGUCCCAAGCUGCAAUGUGCAGCUGUUUUUAGCAUGUUAGUAGAAGUUUGAGUCUAUCGACUUGGGCUGUGAGACUUGCUGUGUCUGUACCCUGAGAAAUAGGCUGAAGCAGGGGAAAAUUUUGAGGUAUAACUUUAACCUUCCUAUGUCUAAUGGGAAAUGUAACUUUAGAAAAAAAAUAGAUGAAUACUGAAUUUUCUUUUUUAGGAAUUUUUCGACGAGAUAGAAGAUUUAAAGUAUGCUCUACAAGAAUCAAUAAAACUGAAUAAUCAGUAUGAAAAGUGCUUGAAACACAUAAGUUCAACGUAUGGACUUGCUUUUGCCACACCUUUUGUAACUAGUAAUAGAAAUUAAACAUUCCAUUUAGAUUUUUCAUGUUGAAUUCUCUCCCCAAAACACGGAUCAACCUGGUUACCAGGUUAGCACUUCAUUUUCCACAAUAAAAUCAUGACUUUCUUGACUCAAACAUGCAAUUUUACAGUGUUAUGUAUCUUUUACUUGACCAUGUGCUUUUGUUGUUGUAUAGUUUUUGAAUAAACUGUCCAUUUAUAAUUUUGUUUGAGAAA